rnacentral:tRNA from 1 species
GGGGAUUUAGCUCAGUGGCAUAAGCACUUGCCUGGCAAGCAUGAGGUCAAGACUUCAAUCCCUG